rnacentral:rRNA from 1 species
CCUACGGGUGGCAGCAGUAGGGAAUCUUUCACAAUGGGCGAAAGCCUGAUGGAGCAACGCCGCGUGCAGGAUGAAGGCCUUCGGGUUGUAAACUGCUUUUAUAAGCGAGAAAUAUGAUGGUAACUUAUGAAUAAGGAUCGGCUAACUACGUGCCAGCAGCCGCGGUCAUACGUAGGAUCCGAGCAUUAUCCGGAGUGACUGGGUGUAAAGAGUUGCGUAGGUGGCAUAAUAAGUAGCUAGUGAAAUCUGGUGGCUCAACCAUUCAGACUAUUAGCUAAACUGUUAAGCUCGAGACCGUUAGGGGUAACUGGAAUUUCUAGUGUAGGAGUGAAAUCCGUAGAUAGUAGAAGGAACACCAAUAGCGUAGGCAGGUUGCUGGGACGGUUCUGACACUAAGGCUCGAAAGCGUGGGGAGCAAACAGGAUUAGAUACCCCAGUAGUC